rnacentral:lncRNA from 1 species
UAAUUUUUCUCCUUAUUUUAUACCCAGGCAUUUCCUAAGACUUGCUAUUUCUGUCCCUCCUUCCUACUUCAGUGUACUGACAUCCCUGUGUAUUUUGGUUCUUUUGCCCCCAUUUGUUCAGCAAACAUUUAUUGGGCACCAUGCAGGAAAGGAUCUAAAGGGAGCACUCCAGGAUGUUGAGGGUAGAGAUUGCUGGUGUUGAAGUUGCAAGUCAUUUUUCUUUCCUUCUUUAUUCUCUUUCAUUUCUUCUAAACUUUCCACAAUGGGCAUAUUUUCAUUUAAAAAUCUAACAGAAAGAAACACUCUGUAUGAUAUAUACUGUUACCAUGUGCAUUUUUCCAUAAUUCCUUGCUGAUUAAAUUUCUUUUUGCUUCUCAACCAUCAUUUUGGUUUCUAAAUACUGUCCUUCUACUGAAAUUACUUAUUCAGAGGCAACCAUUAGAUUUCUUCUAAAAAAUAGGCUAGGCUUUUUCCAGUUUUCUUCAUCUUCAGUUUUUCUGACAUACUUUGCCAUUUUGAUUAUUGACUUUGGGUGUAAUAAAAAUGUAUUGUGGAAAUUUUAGAAAAUACAAAUAAGCAAAAAAUAAAAUUUGAAAUCAGUGAUCUCAUGUCUUGGAGAGAGAUAGCUCAUGGGCAUAUGUUAUGUUGUAUUUAUUAUCUACUAUCUAGAAUAAUCAUUACUCAUCAUAUAAAAUAACUGAUAGGCAUUUAAUUUUAUGGAUUUGCCAUUACUGAUGAAAUUAGGUACCUGGGAUUGAACAUUUAGGUUAUUGCCAAUUUCUUUCCUUUAUAAAUGAUACAGAUUUAAACAUCCUUGUAAAUGUCUUGCACAUUUGUUCCGUCAGAGCUUAGUAUAAAAUUCUUAGAAAAUGAACUUUUUUGCAGCGAAGAUUAUGAAUAACAAUCACUUAAAGCUUUUGUUAACAUGUUGUUGUUUUUUUUUCAGAAGGGCAAUACUAGUUUGUUUACCUAUCCCUCAGUUAUACCUGCAUGUGACCUGGAACACGUGGCAGUUCAUGGUUUUUCAUUAUAUUUUUAUUACUGCUGAAUUUUUACAUUUUUCAAUGUAGUUACUGACCCUUUACUUUUUAUAUUUUAUAAGCUGUCUGAUCUUCUCAUUAGCCCAUUUUUUUCAUUAAUGUGAAAAUAUGUUUUCAGGAUACAGAGCUGCACUGUACAGUACUAAUGCAUUUGGCUCGUAAGGCAACUGAAACAUGGCCAGUUCUCACUGGGACAUGCUAUGAGUAUAAAAUAUACCCCAGAUUUUGUAGACUUAGUAAGAAAAGAAAGACUGUAAAAUAUCUCAAUACCUGUUAUGCUGAAUCCCUGUUUAAAUGAUAAUAUUUUGGAUAUAUUGGGUUGAAUAAAAUAUAUUCUUUAAUUUU